UACGUAGGGGGCAAGCGUUGUCCGGAUUUAUUGGGCGUAAAGAGCGUGUAGGCGGCCUGGAAGGUCAGCUGUGAAAACUCGAGGCUCAACCUCGAGACGUCGGUUGAAACCACCUGGCUAGAGUCCGGAAGAGGAGUGUGGAAUUCCCGGUGUAGCGGUGAAAUGCGCAGAUAUCGGGAAGAACACCCGUGGCGAAGGCGGCACUCUGGGACGGUACUGACACUGAGACGCGAAAGCGUGGGGAGCGAACAGG
rnacentral:rRNA from 1 species